UGAAACUAACAAGGAUUCCCCUAGUAACUGCGAGUGAAGCGGGAAAAGCUCAAAUUUAAAAUCUGGUGGUCUUAGGCCAUCCGAGUUGUAAUCUAGAGAAGUGUUACCCGCGUCGGACCGUGUACAAGUCUCCUGGAAUGGAGCGUCAUAGAGGGUGAGAAUCCCGUCUUUGACACGGACUACCGAGGCUUUGUGGUGCGCUCUCAAAGAGUCGAGUUGUUUGGGAAUGCAGCUCAAAAUGGGUGGUAAAUUCCAUCUAAAGCUAAAUAUUGGCGAGAGACCGAUAGCGAACAAGUACCGUGAGGGAAAGAUGAAAAGAACUUUGGAAAGAGAGUUAAACAGUACGUGAAAUUGCUAAAAGGGAAACGCUUGAAGUCAGUCGCGUUGGCCGGAAAUCAGCCUUGCUUUUGUGAGGUGUACUUUCUGGUUGACGGGCCAGCAUCAGUUUUGACCGGUGGAAAAAGUCUAGGGGAAUGUGGCAUCUUCGGAUGUGUUAUAGCCCUUGGUCGUAUACAUCGGUUGGGACUGAGGAACUCAGCACGCCGCAAGGCCGGGUCUUUGACCACGUUCGUGCUUAGGAUGCUGGCAUAAUGGCUUUAAUCGACCCGUCUUGAAACACGGACCAAGGAGUCUAACAUGCCUGCGAGUGUUUGGGUGGAAAACCCGGACGCGUAAUGAAAGUGAAAGUUGAGAUCCCUGUCAUGGGGAGCAUCGACGCCCGGACCAGAAGUUUUCUGACGGCCCUGCGGUAGAGCAUGUAUGUUGGGACCCGAAAGAUGGUGAACUAUGCCUGAAUAGGGUGAAGCCAGAGGAAACUCUGGUGGAGGCUCGUAGCGAUUCUGACGUGCAAAUCGAUCGUCAAAUUUGGGUAUAGGGGCGAAAG
rnacentral:rRNA from 1 species